AAAAUGUGGGUUAGACAUCCGGAAAAACAAAACGCAAGUGAAUGCUGUGGGGCCACUGCAUUAAUCGGAUUCACCUGCAGAUCCUUGUACUGCCGCUGCAGAUGUCAGAUUGACCAUGUAGCCUUUCACAGUGUCGUGAAAAGCAAUUGGACAAAAAGUCAGCUCGGGUUGCGAGAUAGGAACAAAUAUUACUUACUUCAUGUUUCGCUGGGGAUGGACGUUUCAGUACACCGUUCAGCAAAACAUGACAACGAGACCCUUCUAAAAAGCAAAACAUUUAUCAUUCAAUAAUAUAUUACAUGGCUAUCAGACUGGGUUAUGCAAUAAGCCACUUACGUCGGAAAUAUUCUCGUUCCUGGUAUUAGAUCAAAGGUUUAUGCAUUGUUGUAGCAAUAUUUUAGAAAAUUGUCUCGCCCGCAACUUCAACAAUUCAACUCCUGGCAAUCAGAAAUGUCACAGGCGAGUCAGCACGGAAAAUGGACACUCUCCAGCAGCGAUGACGACAACGAUGACCCUCUCCCUUCUGCCUCAAACAACAACAGCCCUCUGUUGUUUGGCAGCCCCCCGCCUGACCAACACACAUCUUCAGAAUCUAACCACAAUUCCCCCAAGAUAGGCUCCAACUUCCACCAACCCAAACAUGAUCCUGAUCCUCCACCUUCCAUAGAGGUGAAACCUGAACCUAAAUUUGACACAGUGACUGCUGCCCCCCCCCUCUCUAUUGGCUCUGAGGCCAGACAUGCAGCCCAGUCCAGCCAAUUGAAGCCAGUAAAGUAUGAAUCCAAACAAUCCAGCGCCUUUCUGGCUGGUAAGAGGAAGAAGGAUGAUGAUUCAAUUUCCGGCUGGGCUCUCUCAGACAGUGAUGAUGAUGAUAAGGAUAAAGGUCAAAGUUCAGGACAGAAAGACCCGCCACCCAAGAGGUCGAACCCCAAACUGAAGAAGGCAAAGGUGGAGGAAAGGCCUCCCAGCCCCCAUGGCAGAACCUACUACAUAGACGAACCAGAUGACUUCUUUGAGACUAGCGUGCCUCCUGUCAAUGACACAUACAGGUUCUACCUCAACAAGGUCACAGGGCUGGAGAAGAGGUACAACACUGGGGCUCUGCACAUCAAAGAAAUCCUCUCUCCUUUGUUCGGAACACUGAAGGAAUCUGUGCAGUUCAACUACUGCUUUGACAUUGCCUGGAUGUUGCAGCAGUACCCACCUGAGUUCAGAGACAAGCCUGUACUGAUUGUCCACGGAGACAAGAGAGAGGCCAAGGCCCGUCUGCUCCAGCAAGCCCAGCCCUACAGUCAAGUCCGAUUCUGCCAGGCCAAACUGGAUAUUGCUUUUGGAACACACCACACGAAGAUGAUGUUGCUGUGGUACGAGGAAGGCUUCAGAGUGGUCAUCCUUACCUCCAACAUGAUCAGAGCAGACUGGUACCAGAAAACACAGGGGUUGUGGAUGAGUCCUCUGUAUUUACGGUUACCCAAGGGGAGUCCAGAGACAGCGGGGGAGUCUCCCACCCUUUUCAAGCGGGACCUCCUGGAGUACCUGGGGGCCUAUCGUGCCCCCGAAAUCACCGACUGGAUUCAGAGGAUCAGAGAGCAUGACCUGUCUGAGACCAGGGUGUAUCUGAUAGGUUCCACACCAGGGAGGUACUUGGGCUCAGACAUGGAGAGGUGGGGUCACCUGAGGUUGAGAAAACUGUUGCGUGACCACACACGGCCCAUCCCUAACGAAGAGAAGUGGCCUGUCAUUGGUCAGUUCUCCAGCAUUGGCUCCAUGGGGUUGGACAAGACCAAGUGGCUGGCAGGCGAGUUCCAGCGCACUCUGACCACCCUGGGCAAAUCGUCUCUUCGCCCAGAUCCCCCCAUGCACUUGAUCUACCCGUCAGUGGACGAUGUGAGGACCAGUCUGGAGGGGUAUCCAGCCGGUGGCUCUCUACCCUACAGCAUCCAGACUGCCCAGAAACAAAUCUGGCUCCACAGCUACUUCCAUCGCUGGCAAGCUGAGACGACGGGGAGGAGUCACGCCAUGCCACACAUCAAGACCUACAUGAGGGCUUCGGCAGACUUCACACAACUAGCCUGGUUCCUUGUCACAAGUGCUAACUUGUCCAAAGCAGCGUGGGGGGCUCUGGAGAAGAACAACACUCAGGUGAUGGUCCGGUCAUACGAACUGGGAGUCCUCUAUGUGCCCUCUGCCUUCAGCAUGAGUACCUUUCCCGUCCAGAUGGACGUGUUUCCUGCCACCACUCCCUCUACCUCAUUUCCUGUGCCCUUCGACCUGCCACCCAAACGCUACUCGAGUAAAGAUCAGAUCUGCUGCCUCAAACUGUCCUGAGCCAAAUGUUGAUUGGCUAACAUUUACAGUGGGAGCAGCACAUGAAAGGCUAAGAUCAGAGAAGCAUGUAGAAGAUCAGCCAUGGAUGUGGAACAUUCCCUACACCCAGGCUCCAGACACACACGGUAACAUCUGGGUCCCCUCCUGAACCACCACGCCAGACACACACACACACACACGUUCCCUUAAACAUCCAGUUACCCGGACCCCUUGCCAGACCUUCCACAUUCUGCUCCUAUGGUGCACAGACAGGCUAAAUCAAAUGGAAUAGAGGACGAGACACUGUUACUCUCUCUUCUCUCUCUCUCUGUCUCCCCUUCUCACUACCUGUCCAGUCCAACUCUUGUCUCCUUAGUACAAUUAUAACUGUCUGUCAUCUCUCAUUCGUGUCAACCUUCUCCCUACCCUUCCUCCCUCCUUUUUUUCAUACUGUCUGUCUCUCACUUGUCUUCAGUAACUCUGACCCAAAGGCAUCUCUUACUUUCCAUUACCUGGUGCUAAAGUGAGGAGAUGACCUCCUCUCUCGCUUUUGUAUACUGGCCUCACUCUAGUGGCUGGCCAAACCUCCUGCAGAACUAUUUUGUUUGCAGACUUUUGUUCCAGCCCCACUCAAACACGUUGUUAUUACAUUCUUUUGUUAUUGUAGCUAUUCAUUUAAUCAUGUACUGUAAGUUUCCUUUUUAAUAUGUGCAAAAUAAAUCACUCACCAUGUUUGUUAUUAAAAAUAAUUGUACAAAUCCCUAGUAUGAUGAAUCUCAA